AGCGAACGCUGGCGGCAGGCCUAACACAUGCAAGUCGAACGAACCUUUCGGGGUUAGUGGCGGACGGGUGAGUAACACGUGGGAACGUUCCUUUAGGUUCGGAAUAACUCAGGGAAACUUGUGCUAAUACCGAAUGUGCCCUUCGGGGGAAAGAUUAAUCGCCUUUAGAGCGGCCCGCGUCUGAUUAGCUAGUUGGUUGAGGUAAUGGCUCACCAAGGCGACGAUCAGUAGCUGGUCUGAGAGGAUGAUCAGCCACAUUGGGACUGAGACACGGCCCAAACUCCUACGGGAGGCAGCAGUGGGGAAUCUUGCGCAAUGGGCGAAAGCCUGACGCAGCCAUGCCGCGUGAAUGAUGAAGGUCUUAGGAUUGUAAAAUUCUUUCACCGGGGACGAUAAUGACGGUACCCGGAGAAGAAGCCCCGGCUAACUUCGUG
rnacentral:rRNA from 1 species